GAGGCGAACAGGAACCAAUUAUCGCUAGUGCGUUAGUUGGGCCGUAAGUCGCCAAUAUUAUUUGGUCGUAUUAAAGGUCAUAUGUGUAUCUCUCUGGUACAUGUGUAUUACCAUUGCGAACAACAAAA
rfam:Angiostrongylus costaricensis strain Costa Rica genome assembly, scaffold: ACOC_scaffold0000206